rnacentral:rRNA from 1 species
AUGCCGCGUUUAACGCAAUGAAAUACAACUUUCAGCAACGGAUCUCUUGGCUCUCGCAUCGAUGAAGAACGCAGCGAAAUGCGAUAAGUAAUGUGAAUUGCAGAAUUCAGUGAAUCAUCGAAUCUUUGAACGCACCUUGCGCCCUUUGGCAUUCUGAAGGGCAUGCCUGUUUGAGUAUCAUGAACACCUCAACUCUCAUGGCUUGCCAUGAUGAGCUUGGACUUUGGGGGCUUGCUGGCUUGUGAGUCAGCUCCUCUCAAAUGGAUUAGCUCGCCAGUGUUUGGUGGCAUCACAGGUGUGAUAACUAUCUGCGCUUGUGGUUUUCCAUCAGGUAACCUUCAGCAGUGGAGGUUCACUGGAGCUCACAAUGUCUCUCCUCGGUGAGGAUAGGUUUUGACCAUUUGAUCUCAAAUCAGGUAGGACUACCCGCUGAACUUAAGCAUAUCAAUAAGCGGAGGAAAAGAAACUAACAAGGAUUCCCCUAGUAACUGCGAGUGAAGCGGGAAGAGCUCAAAUUUAAAAUCUGGCGUGCCUCUGGCCGUUCGAGUUGUAGUCUGGAGAAGCGUUUUCCGUGUCGGACCGUGUAUAAGUCUCUUGGAACAGGGCGUCAUAGAGGGUGAGAAUCCCGUCUUUGACACGGACUACCGAUGCUUUGUGAUGCGCUCUCAAAGAGUCGAGUUGUUUGGGAAUGCAGCUCAAAAUGGGUGGUAAAUUCCAUCUAAAGCUAAAUAUAGGCGAGAGACCGAUAGCGAACAAGUACCGUGAGGG